rnacentral:snRNA from 1 species
AUCACUUCUGGGCCUUUCGACUAAGAUCAAGUAUAGUAUCUGUUCUUAUCAGUUUAAUAUCUGCCUCUGUGAAGGAUCUCCACAUACUGUCAUAUUCUGAGGUGCACUAUGGGUCAGGCAUUCCACAUAUGAAUUUGAAGUAGGGGACACACA